AUUGAACGCUGGCGGCAGGCCUAACACAUGCAAGUCGAGCGGAUGAAGGGAGCUUGCUCCUGGAUUCCGCGGCGGACGGGUGAGUAAUGCCUAGGAAUCUGCCUGGUAGUGGGGGAUAACGUCCGGAAACGGGCGCUAAUACCGCAUACGUCCUGAGGGAGAAAGUGGGGGAUCUUCGGACCUCACGCUCUCAGAUGAGCCUAGGUCGGAUUAGCUAGUUGGUGGGGUAAAGGCCUACCAAGGCGACGAUCCGUAACUGGUCUGAGAGGAUGAUCAGUCACACUGGAACUGAGACACGGUCCAGACUCCUACGGGAGGCAGCAGUGGGGAAUAUUGGACAAUGGGCGAAAGCCUGGUCCAGCCAUGCCGCGUGUGUGAAGAAGGUCUUCGGAGUGUAAAGCACGUUAAGUUGGGAGGAAGGGCAGUAAGUUAAUACCUUGCUGUUUUGACGUUACCAACAGAAUAAGCACCGGCUAACUUCGUG
rnacentral:rRNA from 1 species